CAGGAAACAGAGGAAAGGGAACCUCUGCCACUCCAGUACAGCCUGACAUUCCUGAGAUGCCUCAAGACACAACUAAACAUAUGGAAACAAAGGAAAGGGAACCUCUGCCACUCCAGUGCAGCCUGACAUUCCUGAGAUGCCUCAAGGCACAACUGAACAUAUGCGCUUGAUGGACACAGCAGGUAGUGGCUCUGCUAUCUUCGUGGGUGUAGCAGGAGGCAAGUCUAUGUCUCAAGCUGGGCGGUCACAGGUGAGUGCAGCAAUCAGUUUCUAGCCUAAGGAAAGAAGCUUAAUCCUUAAGGAGACGCCAGUGUUGGGAGGGGGAGGGAAGUUGCACCUUUAUCUCAAGGGCCUUUUGCUCUUGCCAUAGGGAAUCUCUAAAGCAGAUAUACAAUGCAUGCUCAACAGCCUGGGUCAGGCCCUUUUGGAAAGACAAGGUCAGGCCGAAUUAGGUUUACACCAAAAUGGCUUCCUCAUAUAUUCCAAUAUAUCCUAUUACUUGCCGUUUUUAUUUGACAUUGUUCAUUUAUUUAUUUAAUGAUUGGCCCUGAGCUAAU
rnacentral:lncRNA from 1 species